rnacentral:ncRNA from 1 species
CAAGUAUUUAAGUUCGAUCCUUGAAGACUGAAGUGGAGAAGGGUUUCACGAGAACUGGGUUAAAUGUGGGUCAGUUGAUCCUGAAAAUACUGACUUAUGCCUUGUUUCAUUGAGAGGGAAAAGUUUCUUUUCUCUCGGAUAUGAAAAGGGAAUAGGGUUAAUAUUCCCUAACAUAGGCACAGAGAUUGCGGCUCUUUGAGUCGUUCGCGCGGUAACGCAUAGAUUUCGACCUCUGUGAAUAAAAUUUUUCCCAUAACAAAGAAGGCACCGGAAUGGGUAAUUUCUGUUAUUUCUAUUCUGCACGAGCAUCUACAGCCCAUAUAAAAAUUUGAAUUGCCUAGGACUAUCAUGAAAGAAGUUACGCACGAAAAAGAAUUUAUUGCAAUACUUCUGACCACGACAGUAUAUAUCAGGUCAAACCUGCCCUUUUCCAGAAAUUUGAGCCGAAAUGAUCUGUGGCUUCAAUUGCUGGAAUGCGCAUGUGGCGCAACGGCAAGAGGUUCGCUGUCGCUUGCACGGUC